rnacentral:rRNA from 1 species
AUCGCUAGUAAUCGUAGAUCAGAAUGCUACGGUGAAUACGUUCCCGGGUCUUGUACACACCGCCCGUCAUACCAUGGGAGUGGGUUGCACCAGAAGUGGCUAGUCUAACUUUAUUGAGGACGGUCACCACGGUGUGAUUCAUGACUGGGGUAAAGUCGUAACAAGGUAGCCCUACCGGAAGGUGGGGCUGGAUCACCUCCUUAA